GCCGGGUGUGGUGGUGCAUGCCUGUAAUUCCAACUACUCGGGAGGCUGAGGCAGGAGAAUUACUUGAACCUGGGAGGCGGAGGUUGCAGUGAGCCGAGAUCAUGCCACUGCAAUCCAGCCUGGGUUACAGAGCGAGACUCUGCCUCAA
ensembl:misc_RNA Metazoa_SRP Metazoan signal recognition particle RNA